rnacentral:rRNA from 1 species
UACAGAGGUCUCAAGCGUUUGUUCGGAUUCAUUGGGCGUAAAGGGUGUGUAGGUGGCGCCGUAAGUCAGGUGUGAAAUUUCGGAGCUUAACUCCGAAACUGCAUUUGAUACUGCGGUGCUUGAGGACUGGAGAGGAGACUGGAAUUUACGGUGUAGCAGUGAAAUGCGUAGAUAUCGUAAGGAAGACCAGUGGCGAAGGCGGGUCUCUGGACAGUUCCUGACACUGAGACACGAAGGCCAGGGGAGCAAACGGG